rnacentral:precursor_RNA from 12 species
GGCAAGAGGACUACAGCACCUUUCCUGCCCUCGAGGAGCUCACAGUCUAGUAUGUCUCAGCCCUACUAGACUGAGGCUCCUUGAGGGCAGGGAUCGUCAUACUCGCCUCAGUGCUG